UUCAGCAAUGGAUCUUAGUGGCGAACGGGUGAGUAACGCGUAGGCAAUCUGCCUUCUAGAUGGGGACAACAUCCCGAAAGGGGUGCUAAUACCGAAUGUUGUAGUUGGUUCGCAUGGACUAGCUACUAAAGGUGGCCUCUGAAUAUGCUACCGCUAGAAGAUGAGCCUGCGUCUGAUUAGCUAGUUGGAGGGGUAACGGCCCACCAAGGCUUCGAUCAGUAGCCGGUCUGAGAGGAUGAACGGCCACACUGGGACUGAGACACGGCCCAGACUCCUACGGGAGGCAGCAGUGGGGAAUCUUCCGCAAUGGACGAAAGUCUGACGGAGCAACGCCGCGUGAGUGAAGAAGGUUUUCGGAUCGUAAAGCUCUUUCGUUAGGGACGAACGUGCUCUUUGUGAAUAAUGAGGAGUAAUGACGGUACCUAAAUAAGAAGCCACG
rnacentral:rRNA from 1 species